UUGAGUUCCGAGAAUAAGACAAAACAGGAAAGAAAAUAGUUUAUUUGAUUUUUUCCCCUUACUGAGUGUUUUCAUCACUCACUUCAUUUUUUUUCAUAAUUGCAGGUACAUGUGAUUAAAGUAGCUGCGAGAUAGGGUCAGGUCAGCGUAGGUAGAUCCGGUUGAAGCAGGCUUUGAUCGUACAACAUUUGAUGUUGUUGUUAAAAAACCAAAAUGGCAAAAAGCCAUGGAUGAAGAAAUUGAUGCCAUUGAAAAGAAUAACACUUGGGAGUUGACAGAACUUCCAAAGGCGCAGAAGGCAAUUGGUGUUAAGUGGAUUUACAAGACUAAGCUGAAAGGAAAUAGAGAAGUUGACAAAUACAAGGCACGUCUUAUUGAUAAAGGGUACAAGCAAGAAUAUAGUGUGGAAUUACACGAAAGUUUUUGCUCCAAUUGCAAGGCAAGGCACAAUCAUAUUGGUGAUUUCUUUGGCAUUGCAAAACUCAUGCCAAUUCUUCAAUUGGAUGUGAAAUCAACUUUCUUAUGAGACUUACAAGAGCAGGUAUUUAUUGACCAACCCCCUGGUUAUGUGAAAGUUGGUAGAGAACAUGAAGUAUAUAAAAUGAAAAAAGCUUUAUGUGGAGUAAAACAAGCAACUAGAGCUUGGUAUAGUCGUAUAAAUGCUUAUAUUUUGAAGAAAGGGUUUCAAAGGUGUCUUUUUAAGCACUCUAUUUACAUAAAAAUUGAAGUUAGAGGUAAAAUGCUUAUAAUGUGCUUAUAUAUGGAUGAUUUAAUUUAUACUGGAAAUGAUUAUGACAUGCUGAAAAAGUUCAAACAGUCUAUAAUGCUUGAAUUUGACAUGAGUGAUCUUGGAGUGUUGCAUUAUUUUUUAGGUAUUGAGGUAGUGCAAUAUGUUGUUGAAACUUUUCUUUGUCAAAAGAAAUAUAUGGAAGAAGUGUUAGACAAGUUUGAAAUACAGAACUACAAUUUUGUUACGACUCUUAUUGACAGGAGCUUUAAGCUUGUGAAAUAUCCUGGAGGGAGGAAGGUUUAUAGCACACUUUACAAACAACUUGUAGGAAGUCUAAUGUAUUUAAUAGCAACUCGACCAGAUAUUAUGCAUGUUGUCAGUCUCAUCAGCAAGUUUAUGGAAUAUCCAAAGAAAUUGCAUUUGUUAGCAGCCAAGAGAAUCCUUGGAUAUUUGAAAGGUACUUCUAAUUUUGGGUUGUUUUUAUAAGAAAGAAGACAAAUCAGAUUUGCUUGGAUUCCUUGACAGUGAUUAUGCUGGAUAUAUGAAUAAUAAAAAAACACUUUUGGGUAUGUUUUUAUGAUAGGUUCGAGUGCUAUUACAUGGUCAUCAAAGAAACAGUGCAUUGUUACUUUAUCUACUACUAAAACUGAGUUUGUGGGUGCUACUUCAUGUGCAUGCCAAGCUAUUUGGUUGAGGAAAGUUCUUGAAAGGCUUCAAUUCAAGCAAUAGGGAGCUACUCAAGUUUAUUGUGACAACGAUUCAAUAAUCAAACUCUCAAAAAAUCUAAUUUUACAUAGGAGAAACAAACAUAUAGAUGUGAGAUAUCAUUUCUUAUGUGAUCUUAUGGAAGGUGGAACAAUUGAUCUUGUUUACUAUAGGAGCAAAAAUCAAGUUGUUGAUAUACUAACAAAGCCCCUCAAGUUGGAAAAUUUGUGAAACUUCAAAGGCUCCUUGGUUUGUACAACUUGGAGAAUCCAAUUUGAGAGAGGGAUUGCUAUUUUAUGUUUUCUCUCAAACUGAAUGUGAUAGCUUUCAAUUUAAGGGAGAGAAUGAUUGUGUUUACUUAUUUUGUUGAAUGAGUCAAAAUUAAUCCGUUAGUGGUUUUCUCUUUUCAUGCAACUAUUGAUUUUGCUAAUAGUAGUUUGAUAAUAGUUUCCUAAUCUUCAACAACUAUUGAUAUUGUUAGUUAUUUGUCUGAUGGGUCUUACUUUGUAUGGCUAUAUAUGCAAUAAUAUGAAAGGAAUAAAUAAUAGAGUUUCAUUCUUCUUUGUUCUCUA